CGCGCGCAGGCGGUCCUUUAAGUCUGAUGUGAAAGCCCACGGCUCCACCGUGGAGGGUCAUUGGAAACUGGGGGACUUGAGUGCAGAAGAGGAAAGCGGAAUUCCACGUGUAGCGGUGAAAUGCGUAAAGAUGUGGAGGAACACCAGUGGCGAAGGCGGCCUUCUGGUCUGUAACUGACGCUGAGGUGCGAAAGCGUGGGGAGCAAACAGGAUUAAAUACCCUGGUAGUCCACGCCGUAAACGAUGAGUGCUAUGUGUUAGAGGCUUUCCGCCCUUUACUGCUGCAACUAACGCAUUAAGCACUCCGCCUGGGGAGUACGGCCGCAAG
rnacentral:rRNA from 2 species